rnacentral:miRNA from 1 species
AGAACAAAUCAUAGCCGAGAACAACUUGCCGGAACUUUCAAACAGUAGUUGCCAUUUUUCGGCAAGUCAUUCUUGGCUGCAAUUUACUGUCU